AAGUUUGAUCCUGGCUCAGGAUGAACGCUAGCGGCAGGCCUAAUACAUGCAAGUCGAACGGGAUUUGGGAGCUUGCUUCCAAUGAGAGUGGCGCACGGGUGCGUAACACGUAUGUAACCUACCUUAAUCUGGGGGAUAGCCUCUCGAAAGAGAGAUUAACACCGCAUAACAUUACCGGAUAGCAUUUUCUGGUAAUCAAAUAUUUAUAGGAUUAAGAUGGGCAUGCGGAACAUUAGCUAGUUGGUAAGGUAAUGGCUUACCAAGGCUACGAUGUUUAGGGGAUCUGAGAGGAUGACCCCCCACACUGGUACUGAGACACGGACCAGACUCCUACGGGAGGCAGCAGUAAGGAAUAUUGGUCAAUGGGCGCAAGCCUGAACCAGCCAUGCCGCGUGCAGGAAGACGGCCCUACGGGUUGUAAACUGCUUUUGUACCGGAAUAAACCUUGAUUCGUGAAUCAAGCUGAAUGUACGGUAAGAAUAAGGAUCGGCUAACUCCGUGCCAGCAGCCGCGGUAAUACGGAGGAUCCAAGCGUUAUCCGGAUUUAUUGGGUUUAAAGGGUGCGUAGGCGGUUCUUUAAGUCAGGGGUGAAAGACGGUAGCUUAACUAUCGCAGUGCCUUUGAUACUGAAGAACUUGAAUACACUUGAGGUAGGCGGAAUGUGACAAGUAGCGGUGAAAUGCAUAGAUAUGUCACAGAACACCAAUUGCGAAGGCAGCUUACUAAAGUGUCAUUGACGCUGAGGCACGAAAGCGUGGGGAUCAAACAGGAUUAGAUACCCUGGUAGUCCACGCCCUAAACGAUGAUUACUCGACAUACGCGAUACACUGUGUGUGUCUGAGCGAAAGCAUUAAGUAAUCUACCUGGGAAGUACGA
rnacentral:rRNA from 1 species